rnacentral:rRNA from 1 species
ACUAAAUAGAUACCCCGGUAGUCCACGCCGUAAACGAUGGAUACUAGCUGUUCGGAGCAAUCUGAGUGGCUAAAGCGAAAAGUGAUAAGUAUCCCACCUGGGGAGUACGCACGCAAGUGUGAAACUCAAAGGAAUUGACGGGGGCCCGCACAAGCGGUGGAGCAUGUGGUUUAAUUCGAUGAUACGCGAGGAACCUUACCAGGGCUUAAAUGUAGAUUGACAGGACUGGAAACAGUUUUUUCUUCGGACAAUUUACAAGGUGCUGCAUGGUUGUCGUCAGCUCGUGCCGUGAGGUGUCAGGUUAAGUCCUAUAACGAGCGCAACCCCUGUCGUUAGUUGCCAGCGAGUCAUGUCGGGAACUCUAACGAGACUGCCAGUGUAAACUGUGAGGAAGGUGGGGAUGACGUCAAAUCAUCACGGCCCUUACGUCCUGGGCCACACACGUGCUACAAUGGUAGGUACAGAGAGCAGCCACUGCGCGAGCAGGAGCGAAUCUACAAAACCUAUCUCAGUUCGG